GACUUUAUCUCACGCCCUCAGCAGAGCACUGCGGGGAGUAGUGGUUUCCUCUUCCCUGAUGACUGAGCUCACUGCUGCUCUGGUGUCACCCAGCUCGGGGACCCUGCUCCGCAGAGCCGAGGAACCGAGGGCUUGAAGACAUGCAGCUCGUCGGGACGCAUUGAGCACUAUGCUCCAGCACAACUGCCUAGAGUUGGUACCGUUGGUCCUGUGCAACCACGCCAAUGGAGAGUGAGCUGCUAACACCCUACAUUUCUGUUGAACAGAGAAGACACUUUGAAUG
rnacentral:lncRNA from 1 species